rnacentral:rRNA from 1 species
GACGAACGUUGGCGGCGUGCUUAAUACAUGCAAGUCAACUGAAGCACCGGUAGUAAUACUGGUGUGGAGGUGGCGCACGGGUGAGUAACACGUAGGUAAUCUGCCUUUAGGUCUGACAUAACCCCGAGAAAUCGGGGCUAAUAGCAGAUGAUGCAGCGGCUUGACAUCAAGACAGUUGUUAAAGCUUCGGCGCCUGAAGAUGAGCCUGCGUCUGAUUAGCUAGUUGGCGGAGUAACAGCCCACCAAGGCUACGAUCAGUAGCUGGUCUGAGAGGAUGAUCAGCCACACUGGAACUGAGACACGGUCCAGACUCCUACGGGAGCAGCAGUAAGAAUAUUGCUCAAUGGGAGAAAUCCUGAAGCAGCAACGCCGCGUGAGGGAUGAAGGGCUUUUGCUUGUAAACCUCUGUAGUGAGAAGAAAAACU